AAGAUCAUACUUCACAGGAUCAUUUCUGUAGUUGAUCUUCGAAUACUCUCAACUCAAAUGUUGAGUCGCUGUAACCACGACGAUGUGAUAUAGUUCCUCGACCUGAGCGUGAGACUUGUCUUUUGAAAUCUUCGUGAUUUUAAAAGACACACGAUGAUCGUUCACCUUCAAAUUUUUAUUUGGGGGCCUGGUUGAGGAACAUUCUGAGUGGU
rfam:Agrilus planipennis Contig16719, whole genome shotgun sequence.